GGUUAAGCGACUAAGCGUACACGGUGGAUGCCCUGGCAGUCAGAGGCGAUGAAGGACGUGCUAAUCUGCGAUAAGCGUCGGUAAGGUGAUAUGAACCGUUAUAACCGGCGAUUUCCGAAUGGGGAAACCCAGUGUGUUUCGACACACUAUCAUUAACUGAAUCCAUAGGUUAAUGAGGCGAACCGGGGGAACUGAAACAUCUAAGUACCCCGAGGAAAAGAAAUCAACCGAGAUUCCCCCAGUAGCGGCGAGCGAACGGGGAGCAGCCCAGAGCCUGAAUCAGUAUGUGUGUUAGUGGAAGCGUCUGGAAAGGCGCGCGAUACAGGGUGACAGCCCCGUACACAAAAAUGCACAUGCUGUGAGCUCGAUGAGUAGGGCGGGACACGUGGUAUCCUGUCUGAAUAUGGGGGGACCAUCCUCCAAGGCUAAAUACUCCUGACUGACCGAUAGUGAACCAGUACCGUGAGGGAAAGGCGAAAAGAACCCCGGCGAGGGGAGUGAAAAAGAACCUGAAACCGUGUACGUACAAGCAGUGGGAGCACGCUUAGGCGUGUGACUGCGUACCUUUUGUAUAAUGGGUCAGCGACUUAUAUUCUGUAGCAAGGUUAACCGAAUAGGGGAGCCGAAGGGAAACCGAGUCUUAACUGGGCGUUAAGUUGCAGGGUAUAGACCCGAAACCCGGUGAUCUAGCCAUGGGCAGGUUGAAGGUUGGGUAACACUAACUGGAGGACCGAACCGACUAAUGUUGAAAAAUUAGCGGAUGACUUGUGGCUGGGGGUGAAAGGCCAAUCAAACCGGGAGAUAGCUGGUUCUCCCCGAAAGCUAUUUAGGUAGCGCCUCGUGAAUUCAUCUCCGGGGGUAGAGCACUGUUUCGGCAAGGGGGUCAUCCCGACUUACCAACCCGAUGCAAACUGCGAAUACCGGAGAAUGUUAUCACGGGAGACACACGGCGGGUGCUAACGUCCGUCGUGAAGAGGGAAACAACCCAGACCGCCAGCUAAGGUCCCAAAGUCAUGGUUAAGUGGGAAACGAUGUGGGAAGGCCCAGACAGCCAGGAUGUUGGCUUAGAAGCAGCCAUCAUUUAAAGAAAGCGUAAUAGCUCACUGGUCGAGUCGGCCUGCGCGGAAGAUGUAACGGGGCUAAACCAUGCACCGAAGCUGCGGCAGCGACGCUGAUGCGUUGUUGGGUAGGGGAGCGUUCUGUAAGCCUGCGAAGGUGUGCUGUGAGGCAUGCUGGAGGUAUCAGAAGUGCGAAUGCUGACAUAAGUAACGAUAAAGCGGGUGAAAAGCCCGCUCGCCGGAAGACCAAGGGUUCCUGUCCAACGUUAAUCGGGGCAGGGUGAGUCGACCCCUAAGGCGAGGCCGAAAGGCGUAGUCGAUGGGAAACAGGUUAAUAUUCCUGUACUUGGUGUUACUGCGAAGGGGGGACGGAGAAGGCUAUGUUGGCCGGGCGACGGUUGUCCCGGUUUAAGCGUGUAGGCUGGUUUUCCAGGCAAAUCCGGAAAAUCAAGGCUGAGGCGUGAUGACGAGGCACUACGGUGCUGAAGCAACAAAUGCCCUGCUUCCAGGAAAAGCCUCUAAGCAUCAGGUAACAUCAAAUCGUACCCCAAACCGACACAGGUGGUCAGGUAGAGAAUACCAAGGCGCUUGAGAGAACUCGGGUGAAGGAACUAGGCAAAAUGGUGCCGUAACUUCGGGAGAAGGCACGCUGAUAUGUAGGUGAAGUCCCUCGCGGAUGGAGCUGAAAUCAGUCGAAGAUACCAGCUGGCUGCAACUGUUUAUUAAAAACACAGCACUGUGCAAACACGAAAGUGGACGUAUACGGUGUGACGCCUGCCCGGUGCCGGAAGGUUAAUUGAUGGGGUUAGCGCAAGCGAAGCUCUUGAUCGAAGCCCCGGUAAACGGCGGCCGUAACUAUAACGGUCCUAAGGUAGCGAAAUUCCUUGUCGGGUAAGUUCCGACCUGCACGAAUGGCGUAAUGAUGGCCAGGCUGUCUCCACCCGAGACUCAGUGAAAUUGAACUCGCUGUGAAGAUGCAGUGUACCCGCGGCAAGACGGAAAGACCCCGUGAACCUUUACUAUAGCUUGACACUGAACAUUGAGCCUUGAUGUGUAGGAUAGGUGGGAGGCUUUGAAGUGUGGACGCCAGUCUGCAUGGAGCCGACCUUGAAAUACCACCCUUUAAUGUUUGAUGUUCUAACGUUGACCCGUAAUCCGGGUUGCGGACAGUGUCUGGUGGGUAGUUUGACUGGGGCGGUCUCCUCCUAAAGAGUAACGGAGGAGCACGAAGGUUGGCUAAUCCUGGUCGGACAUCAGGAGGUUAGUGCAAUGGCAUAAGCCAGCUUGACUGCGAGCGUGACGGCGCGAGCAGGUGCGAAAGCAGGUCAUAGUGAUCCGGUGGUUCUGAAUGGAAGGGCCAUCGCUCAACGGAUAAAAGGUACUCCGGGGAUAACAGGCUGAUACCGCCCAAGAGUUCAUAUCGACGGCGGUGUUUGGCACCUCGAUGUCGGCUCAUCACAUCCUGGGGCUGAAGUAGGUCCCAAGGGUAUGGCUGUUCGCCAUUUAAAGUGGUACGCGAGCUGGGUUUAGAACGUCGUGAGACAGUUCGGUCCCUAUCUGCCGUGGGCGCUGGAGAACUGAGGGGGGCUGCUCCUAGUACGAGAGGACCGGAGUGGACGCAUCACUGGUGUUCGGGUUGUCAUGCCAAUGGCACUGCCCGGUAGCUAAAUGCGGAAGAGAUAAGUGCUGAAAGCAUCUAAGCACGAAACUUGCCCCGAGAUGAGUUCUCCCUGACUCCUUGAGAGUCCUGAAGGAACGUUGAAGACGACGACGUUGAUAGGCCGGGUGUGUAAGCGCAGCGAUGCGUUGAGCUAACCGGUACUAAUGAACCGUGAGGCUUAACCUU
rnacentral:rRNA from 3 species